GCAAAGUCUCCUCCCCCCUCAUCUUCAUCCUCCCGCCCCACCCGGACGAGAUGUCCCAAUCCGAAGUCACCCUCACCUGUCUCAUCCGCGGCUUCCAACCGGAGAACGUCCAAGUCCAAUGGUUGAAGAACCACGAGAACGUUCCCGAGGACCAUUACGUCACGACCCCGCCCUUGAAGGAAGGGUCAAAGGUCACCACCUUCUUCACCUACAGCAAGAUGGCCGUCCCCAAGAGCAGCUGGGAGAGCGGUGACGUCUACGCCUGCAUGGUUGUCCACGAAGGGUUGCCCAUGAAGUUCACCCAACGCCAAGUUCAAAAAAGCCCCG